UCCAAAUAACUUAUUCACCGAAUUUCCAUGGGCUCGUUGCAUCGCUCUCCAUCUUCUCCUCCAUCCAUGCCCGAGGUAGAAUUCCUUCAAUCUGUAGAGAUGGGAUUAAACCCGUGAGUUGAAAAACUCAAUGGGUGUCAUAGGUGCAUUCGUGAUCAAGCUAUACAUUUCAAAACAUUAACUUUAUAACUUUUCAUACAUGCCGUACCCGGAGGCACCAUUUGACAU
rnacentral:lncRNA from 1 species